rnacentral:lncRNA from 1 species
UAUGUGUGUUAUGUUCUUUGCCAUGCUAUGUGUGCUAGUGAGGAACAUUCGGGGACGAAUGUUCUUAAGGGGGGGAGAAUGUAAUACCCGGCUAGACUCCGGUACCGGAAUUCCUACCGUCCGGUGGAAUCUCGGAUGUCGGAGACCUCUAGAAGGGUAGAAUCAUGUUUUAUAAAAUGUUUUCAUGUAUUUUAAUGUUUUAAAGUAUGAAACUAAAUGAGUUUUGCAUGAAAAGUCUUUGGAGGAAAACUCAGGUUCAGCCGCCGAAAGUCAAGUUCGGCCGCCGAACAUGCAUGCGUUUUGGAGGCACGUUAGGCCCCCGAAAGCAUGAGUUAGGGAAGUUCAGGUUCGGCCGCCGAAAGUCAAGUUCAGCCGUCGAACAUUGCAUGGAUGCGGAGGCACAUUCGGCCCCCGAACGUGGCCUGGCCAGCCACCUAUAAAAGGGUCCCUUAGCCAAAAAUGGGCGAGCUUUUUCUCCCCAUUUCGGCCAAGGUGAGCAUUCUGCCAUCCUUCCCCAAUCUUGAGUUUUUCCUUCCUUUUUCCAUGAUCUUUACAAGUUUAUAACUUUGGUUUUGAAGAUCUUUGAGCUUAGAACGAGUUUUGGAGCUUGGAGACCAAAAGUUUGAAACUUCUCCCAUCUCCAAGUUUAGAUCUCCUCAACCCUCGAUCUCCAAGAGGUAAGAGCCGAUCUUAAGCUCAAUGUACAAUUUAAACAAGUUUUACGAAGUUUUAAGGGGUAGAAUGCAUGUUAGGGUAUAUGUUGAACCUAUGGGUUUUUGAUGACUUUUUGAACAAUGUAGCUUGAUUGUGUAUGAUUGAAGUGUUGUAGAGGGGGUAUAUGCAUGUUUGAGGCCCCUAGGAACUUGUAUGCAUGAUUUGGUUGGAGUAUAUGCUUGAUUUGUGGAUUUGGGAGGCAAGAGGUUCAUGUGAACCAAGUUUCUGCCCGUUUGGCAGAAACCAGGUUCGGCAGCCGAAGGAAGUUUCGGCCGUCGAACCCCUCUUGUGGAGGCAGCAUUCGGCUGCCGAAGGUGCCCCAGAAAAGAGACUUUCGUCUCUGUCUGGGACUUUCGGCCGCCGAAUGUGCCGCCAAACCUGCCUGAGUUUCGUCUCUGUCCAGGACUUUCGGCCGCCGAAGGUGCCGCCGAAAGUGCCCUGUUCAGCCAUUUCAUGCAUACCUCUAUGUGAUAUUUUCAGGUUGUUUUAGGGGGUUUUUGGGGAAUAUAUUAGAGUUAUGUUUAUGUAUGUUUGGUCCCUCAUUGGAGUCCACCUGUGUANNNNNNNNNNNNNNNNNNNNNNNNNNNNNNNNNNNNNNNNNNNNNNNNNNNNNNNNNNNNNNNNNNNNNNNNNNNNNNNNNNNNNNNNNNNNNNNNNNNNNNNNNNNNNNNNNNNNNNNNNNNNNNNNNNNNNNNNNNNNNNNNNNNNNNNNNNNNNNNNNNNNNNNNNNNNNNNNNNNNNNNNNNNNNNCCGGGCAAUAACUCCGAGUACGAAGUCCUGUGGUGCCCAUAAUAGGGCCGGGCAAUACGAAGUCCUGUGGUGCCCAUAAUAGGGCCGGGCAUGGAGUUGAGGGAUUUUUGAAUCAGUCCAUCCGUGGUGUGAUUUGUUUGUGCAGUGGCGCAUUUCAUGAUAGCAUAUUUUAAAUAUUCUUUUUACAGUUCUACUCACUGGGCAUCUAGCUCACCCCUCUCCCCUAACCCCCAGGUUUGCAGGUACGGGAUAGAUAGAGAAGGCAAGAAGAGAAAAAGUCAUAUGUAUGUAAUAGUUAGUUUGUGGACAUGACGAAUGUAUUAUGAUGAAAUGUAAAAAUACUCAGGAUGUUAUGUAAUGAGGUCAUUGAGGAUAGAGUUGUGCUUGACCAUAAUAUAUUGUUAAUCCCUUUUGUAUAUACAUGAUCUUAUGUUAUGAUGUUUAUGUAAACUAACUCAACACAGGUUGUUUUGCCUUUAAGGCUUGAUGAGAUCCCACAGAGGGACUAUGUUAUGUAUAUGUUCAGAGUAUGCACAGGUUGAGUUAGUUGAUGACAGUAUGUAUGAAGAAAAGUUUUAAAAUUUUAUGCAUGUUGAUGAUCAUGUAUGGGAUUAUAUAGGUUUACAGGUUAUAUGUCAGGCUUGCUACGGGUCCCGGCGGCCUUAAGUCGACCCGGAUCCUAGCGCCGGUAGCGGUCCGGAUUUCCGGGGCGUUACAAUUACUAUUUGGAUAUAAAAUAAUUAUUCCUUAUUACUUCAUAGCCAUGCAUAUAAAUACCAUUUAAUCAAAUUUUACUACAAACUUUAAUUAUUCUUUUAGCAUAUUUAAUAUAAUAGAAACAACAAGUACACAUAAUCUAAUAAAAAUAAAGUAUGUGACAAGAUAGAAAUAUGUAAUUAUCCUUUUUGUGUAUAUCCAAAAUAUGCCUCCAACGUGUCUCUUAACAUAUUCACUUUCUAUUGUUAUUUUGUAGACCACUUUGAAACUACACUUAAUGUUGUAAAAAAUGAUAGAGAUUCAUUCACUCUCUAUUGCAUUCCAACAAAAUUAUUUCUUGCCCUAUCGCUAAAACUAGAAUAAAUUUCAACCACUUGAUGUUAGCCUCACACUCCUUAUAACAUAUUCUGAAAUCAAGUCCCAACAUGCCAAUUUAGAGGCUUUUAAUUUUUUCAAGUUAGGAUGAUCUUUUAAAAUGUUAAAUCAUUUUAAUUUAAUAAAUUAAUUAUGAUUAACUACAAAUUCACUAGAGUGAUAAUGAUAUGUCACUUUGAAUCCAUUGCUUAAUAAUAAUUAUGUUACUUGACUUGCUACAAAGACACAUUCUUCCCAAUUUUAAUUUAUAAAAUGAUUAAUAUUUUUUAAUAUUUAUAAAAUUGGUCUAUUAUGGUAAAAUUGAAAUUCCUGAAUUAAAAUACAAAAGAAAGCAAAAAUAAAGAUGUCUAUUAUUAAAAUUUGAGUUGCAUUAUUAAAAUGAUUGAAAGAUUAUUUUAUGAUCAACAUUUUCAAAAUAUUUAUUAUUGAUGAAGUACAAUAAUUUUAAAUUUUCAUAUUAAAAUUUCAUUUUAUUAAACAAAUAAAUGGAGGGAUGUAAAAUAUUAUUUUCCAUUUACUAGUUUUUUUCAAUUUUGUUUAGAUAAAAAAUAAAAAAUAUAAUAAAAUUAUUUUCUUGUACGAAUGUUGAAAACAAAAAGAAAUAAGUUUGAAAUGAGAGAAGAGAGAGAAACAAAAAAGAGAAGAGAAGAGAGUGAGGGGGAAGAGAAGAGCAAAAGAUCAUAAGAGAAGAGAACAUUGUGUGCAUGACGAGGGGAUGAUUGGAGUUUGUCUUUUUGUUCUUCGAGUUUUGUUUGAGUUUUUUUUUUCUUUCAUCUUUCUUCUUGUUUAUUUUUUUCCCUCUACCUUUGGAUAGGGAACCAUCACUCAGCCUCUAGAUUAUCCCUCACCUACUUUGGCCAUGAUGGUUUUAUUUUAGUUUCAUGUGUUCUUUGCUUUUGCAUGUCCCAAUUGCUUCAACGGAGGCAGUUGCUUUGUAUUUGCAUUUUGAAUGUGAACUUCUUGGCUUUUGGUUUUGAAAAGGUUGCUUGUUCUGUGGUAUUGUAACUUGGGCCCACAUCGAUUCGUCUGGUGAGUCACAUUACUAUCGACUAUUAGAUUGCUUAAACCUCUGCAGUGUUGCCUCCUUUGCAAUCGUUUCUUUCGAGUUGCUAGGGUUUGGCUAGGGUUUUUCAUUUGCAUGCAUGUCUUGUGUUGUUUGUUUGUGUCGAUUUAUUGGAUUGGGCUCCACCAUUUAUUGGUUAUGAUGUUUCCAGUUUGCUUUUCUGUGCUCGAAAGGGUUGAACAGUUGAAGAAACAUUAAUAGCUGCGGUAUAUCGGUCUGUGGCCUGGCUAGGCUUUAGUUUCUUUCAAUUCUAGGUUGUGGGCAACUUGUGGUUUGGUUUGGGUUUAUGGUUGGUGUGAUAUGCUUAUUAGGUUUUUUGGUUGGAUUGAUAUGUUUUUUCUAGCCUUAGUAGUGUAAACGAAUCGAGUCGAGCUGAGUUUUGAAGAGCUCAAUCUUGAUUCGCUAAAAUUUUUUUGAGUUUGAAUCGAAUUGGAGCUUUACUAAUUUUAAACUCGAGUUUUACUAAUUUUGAACUCGAACUGAGUAUUAAUAAGCUCAAACUUAGCUUGUUUAGCAAACAAGUUUAGACAAAUCGAGUUUUUAAUCGAGAUUAGUCUCGAAUAGUUCACGAACGAUUCAAUUUAUUUCAUAUAUAAUGAGUUUUAAUUUAAAAUUAAUAAGUAUAAAACUAAAUAAUUUUAGUUAAAUAAAUAUAUAAAUAAAUUAACUCGUAAACAUGCAUAUAUUUGGAUCGUUAAGUUAAGUUUUAAAAGUGUAAUUAAACUAUAUAGAGUUAAACGUUAAAAAAAUUAGAUUUGGCUUAUGAAAAUAUAUGUGGGGUUUGACUUUGUUUCCCUUAUGAUAUUAAAAAAUUGUUCACCGAUCUGUUCGCAAAUCUGCUCAUUCAUUUAUAUAAUUAUGUUUGGUAAAAAAAUAUAGAAAAAAAAGUUUAUGAUAAAUUUAUCAUUUUAAGAAAAAAAAACUUCAAACUUUAUUAUUUUUCACAUUCACGUCUUUGAUUUUUUUAUUUCUUUAAAUUAUAUCAUAAUAGAUUAUUAAUGGUUGUUACAUUGACAUUUGAUAAUAGCGUAAUACAAUAAAAUCAAUACGCGCAAUUAUAAUAUAUUAUUAUAAAAAUCUUUUAGGGGUAGAAUUAUUAAAAUUCAUAAGGUUUAGAAUUUUGUUUUUAGGCAAUUGUCACAUUAUAAAUUGAUUAAAUGCAUGAAAGUUAAUUUUAAGUCUAAAUUCAAGUUUUAAAUUAAUUAAAAAUUGAUGUAGCGUGAUUUUUAUGUUUACGUAUGUAUAAUCAUUUUACGCUUCUACACAUUUUAAAUCAUAAAUUGAUUGAAACCAUUUGUUUUUGACCAUACGUUAAAAAUGUUUAAUACAUGUAACUUCAAAAUUUUUAUUAAAAUAUUGUAUGUAGUAAGAUAAACUAAUUUAAAUAAUUUUUUGCAAGAAAGAUUUUUUUUUCAUAAAUAAUCAUGUGACAGCUACAAUAAAAUUAUUUCUUCGAUGAAAUUAUUUUAUCACAUUUUUCUUAAAUAAUUAAUGAAAUACAUUUGUCAAUCAAAAUGAAAAUUAGGUUAUUUUUUUAAAAGUAAUCUUUUUUUACAAAAUAAAAAAUUAUUUUAUUUUAUUUUCUUAAACUAACUUAUGAGAUUUGAAAGAAAAAGAGUUUCUGUUUGAAGUUUUUAUUAUUUAUUUUCUAUAUUAAUUAUUAAAUUAUAAACUCAUAAUUUAUAAUUUCCACCAUACUUUUGCAUAAUUAAUUCUCAUGAUCUGAAAUUCAGAAAGUAGGGCUUUACAAGAGUUUUGUGAACUUAGAGAAAAACUUAGUCUGAAAGAAGAGUGACCCUCUCCUUUUAUUCUUUUUCUUCCUCUGCCAAUGGCGUGUAACGGCCUUAUUUCUAUUGGGUCACCUGUCUUUGCCAUACUAAUACGAUCGUACGAGGAUAUUAGACAUCUACAGCAUAUGUAAAGGCCAUUUAAUUCUCUUCUGAUACGUGUGCGGAUGGACUCACCCGGGGGACGGGCUGGAUGGGCUGGCCACCUUCCUUCCUACGGGCUGGGCAGGAAGAGGAAUUCAAGAUUGAGCCCAAAGAAAAUCGGGACGUUGGGCUGAGAAGGUUGGACCGGUCUAACUGAGAAAUCUGGAUGGAGCCCGGUCUUAAGGCUGAGCGGGCCGAACCUGAUUCAUGUGGGAGGUUUGAAGGUCUUCAGGUAAUAGGCUGUUACCAUGGGCCCAGCCUCAAAUCGGGAUAGAGAAAUCCAACGGUCAUCAAAUUCUAAUUAGAUUCCAUCAAAAUAAUUUAUAAUUUUAAGUUAAUCAAAUACUUAUAUAUAGAUAUAUGUAUUUAUUAUAACAAUCUAAUUAAUUAUCUGAUAUAUUUAAUCUAUUAAUAUUAGUUUUUUUAAAUGAAGUCAAAUUUUUAUUAAUUAAAUAUAAGCUUAAACUUCUAGAUUAUUUUGAAUUAAUCUACUAGAUUAUUUAAAAAUCAGAUAAAAUUAAAUAAAUUAUAAUAAUAAAUUUAUAUAUUAUUAUAAUUUAAAAAAUAAAUAAAAAUUAUGAGACAGCUCCCAUUUAACAUCUUAAAAAUAAUUUAAUAUCAUUGGAUGAAAAAUGAUAACAAAAAAUUUAAAACAAAAUUUCAUUUUGGACGAAUCCAAAUCCAGCUUGGAAACAAAAUUUUCCUGGAUUGGACAGGGAAUCCAUGGAUGAAUUGAAUAUGAACAGGAAGCAUAAAUAAAUAUUGUAAAAAAAAAAAAAUCAUAAAAAAGGGAUAAAUAAAGUAACGUUGAGUAAGAGGGUAGGAAAAGAAGAUGACAUGCAGCCACUUUGCAUCUCUUCUCUCUGGACUAUUUAUUUAGUACUUUUCCUCUCCAUCUCUCUCUCUUCCUCUGCAUCUUCUCUCUCUAACAAUCCUCCUCGAAUCUCGUCACUACACCUUCGGGUCCUGAAAACCAAAGGAGGACCCAUACACACACUCACACACUCGCACAUAAAUCCCAACUUGUGUUUUAACGAGAGUUACAUAUCUAUCUAUAAAGAUAUAAUCUCUAUAGCAAGAGAGAUUAGAAAGAGAAAGAUGAAUAGAACAUCUCCUAAGUCAUGGAUUCGCUCGUUGUGGUAGAAUUUCAAACACCCUUUUUUGGGUAUCUCUUAUUCCCUUCCCUUUCACUCCCACUCGCUCUCUCUUUCGUAAUUUGGGUUUAUGAUAUUUUCUUUUUUCUUUUUCUUUUUUUUUUUUUCUGGGAAGAAUUUCUUUCUUUUUGUUUUUUUUUUCCCUGACAUUUUGUUUCUGUGAGGAUGUUUUUUUAAAGGAAUUUUCUCUCUUUUGCAGGUUGGAUUUGGUGGUAAUGUGAUUUGCUUAGUUGGCUGUAAUUAUUCCAUAAUUCUAAAUAUGGAUUUAUCUUUUGAGGGUAAAAUUUGUUUAUUUAUUUAUUUUGGAUCAGUUUGUUGGAUGCAAUUAUUUCUGUUUUCUAAUUUUGUUUUUCCUUUUCUGAGUGAUUUGUCAUUUCAACCAUUGAAACGUCCUGUGUUUUAUUUUUCCGUAGUCUGAAGGUAAAAUAAUGGAUUUAUAAUUUCUGUGGUCAUUUAAAUUGUGAUAUCCUUGAUCUUAAUGAUUUAGGUAUUGAUUAGAGUUUCUGGGUUUUUGAGGCGCAAAAAUAGAAUUUCUUGCUCUUUAGGUGUUUAUUACACUGAGUUGUUGAAUCUCUUUGUUAAUUUUCAACAUUUAUAUAUAGUUUAUAGAAGAAAAACAUUGUGGUGGUUGAAUUUUAGAGGUUGGUAAACAUUGUUUUCUCUUUAUAUAAUAUUCCUGCAUUAUGUUGAAUUUGUUUGUAUUCACAAAGCUGAGUUAUUUGAUAUGGUGGACUAUUAUCUUUAUGGCAUGCCACUUUGGAUUAGCACUUGGUGAUGACCCCUAUGAAAGUGCAGGAGAAGAGGCAUUUCAUUGUUUGUAUCAGUGAUUUUUUUUUUUCAUUUUUUAUUUUUGAUUUUUCCUAUGGUUAACACAAGUAUUAUUGCUGACCAUUUAGUUUUCUCUUUCUUUCAGAUCAUUCUGAAAAAGUUGUAUCAUUGAUGUAGUUGGAAUGUCUUUAUCAAUAAAAAGUCAACCAUUUUCUUUUACAUGUUUAAUAUAUUAAUUAGUCAAUAUUUAUAUGAUAAGAAGAAAUUUAGUCCAUGCAACUCCAAUGAGCCUCCUAAAGGGUUUGGCUAUGGAGACAAGUUACUUCGUACUGGGUAUAUUUAGCUGAUUUGGUGUUUGUAGGUGGUGAUGUCAUGGGCAUUAUCAUGGCUGUUAAUGAAAAGGAAGAAUUAUCUAUUAUUAGUUUCUUUAAAGUUCAUCCUUAGGCUCUUAUUGUUUACCUGUUAUCUGUGUAGGUAUACUUACAUAUGUACGUGUAUAUUACUAGGUACACUUGAGUCAAUUAAAAAGCUUUCACUUCUUUGACACUUCUCUUAGAUAAAGUAUAUAAAUGAGACGUUGUCCUUUUUCUUUUACUCAGGAAGUGCACUUGACCCAUCAAAAUGUAGUAAGCUAAGCAUGGAUGAAAAGAGAGAACUGGUCUAUCAAUUAUCAAAGUAUGCAGGUGCCUCUGAAAUGCUACAGUCAUGGAGCCGUCAGGAUAUUUUGCAAAUCCUGUGUGUGGAGAUGGGAAAAGAAAGGAAAUACACGGGCUUGACAAAGUUGAAAAUCAUAGAGCAUCUUCUUAAAAUUGUCUCAGAAAAGAAAGCUGGGGAGUGUGAAGUGACAACAGGUGUCGAGACAGAAUCAUCUCCUGCACCUGUCCAGAGAUCUUCCAAAAGGCAGAGGAAAACUGACAACCCAUCACGGUUAACUGUUUCAGUUAACUGUACUGCAGCUAGUAAUGGAGGCAGUGAUUUAGGUAAUACUGUGUAUUGCAAAAACUCAGCUUGCAGAGCUACCUUAAAACAAGGUGAUGCAUUUUGCAAGAGGUGUUCAUGUUGCAUCUGUUACAAGUAUGAUGACAACAAGGAUCCCAGCCUGUGGUUAACUUGCAGCUCAGAGUCUCCUUUUCAGGGUGUUGCAUGUGGCAUGUCAUGCCAUCUUGACUGUGCCUUGAGACAUGAAAGUUCAGCCAUUGGAAAAGAUGGAUAUGAUGGGAGCUUUCGCUGUGUAGCUUGUUGGAAGGUGAAUGAUUUACUUGGGUGAGUAUUAACGUGUGCUUUUUCUUUUUCUUUUUUCAUGCUCUCUUUAUGGCUAAUUUCAUUAUUGUAAAGGGCUGAAGGUUUUUCUCAUGUUGUCUAUCUUCUUACACCCUAAUGAAAUUAUCCAGACUGGAUGGUAGGCAAUUCUUUUCAGCUUUCUGCUAUGCUCACAUUUUUAGUCAUUGGUUUGAUUGUAUGGUUUCUGCUCCUCACAACAUUAGUUUCUGGAAUAUAAUUGCACUCAAUACAUAAAGAUCUGAUGUUUUGCUUUUUACUAUUUUUUGAUAAUACCAUAAGGAACUGAAACAGCUAUCACAAAGUAACCUUUAAAAACUAGAGAAAGCAGUGACAAAAGGUUCAGGAAACGUAAAUGAGGGAUACCCAGUUGUACAUUGUUCUUUUGCUUAUGAGACACUAUCCUUGUCUUUUGCAUAAAUGGUUUAUGGUUCAUGUCCUGAUCAAUAGGGAACUUUUUUGUAUACGUUGUGUGGGAAUGGAGGAAUGGGAGUAGUAGGGAAUUUUUCGAAUAGAUAGCCAUAGCCUAGAAAUGGAGGAAUGGGAUUUGAAAGCAGUGUGUUUAAUUUUCUGGGACUAAAAGAGAACUUAUGAAGUAGAGGAAUUAGGCAAUCAAGAUGAAAUUCUUGAGAAUGCUUCUCUUUUGCUGUCUAUGUAUUUUCCUUUUUCUUAAUUUGUAGAUUAUCUAAGUCUUUUAGGAUAGUUUCAUUACAAUUUCUUUUGAUUAUGUGUAUGAACCAGGUUGUUCUACUUAAUUUUUAAACAAAUUUUCAAAAUCUCUUACUUACCUAAGCCUAGCUACCAGGUGAAAGGAUUUUGUUUAUUUUAUUUAUGUUAUGUUAUGGUUACUUAUUGGAUGACACUUGUAAGUUGCAUUGCAGCAAAAAAUAUCUCAUAGAGAAGUCAAGGUAAUAUAUUGAAGCAUUUGUCUAUUCAAGUGCAACUAUGGAAUGGGGUGUAUUCCAGUUCAUUCAUCAUGUCUUAGAUUCAAAUAUGCAUUUUUUAAACAUGUUGUGUGUUGGCAAUCUUGUUUUCUAGAAAUAUAGUUUUACAAGGAUUUGGAGCUUUAGGGGUAUAUACAUAGAUAUGGAUGAAAUUCAGUUUCACAGAUAUCUUAAACAAGGCUUCUUAAUCUUUGGAUUGCAUGAUGUUAACGCUAGAUGUGAUGCCCAGGAAAUUCCGUAUGAGAAAUUUAGAAUCUUCCGAUCUCAUAGUUGAACUUCUGUAGCUGUCAUCAUUCUCAUUACAUACUCUUCUAUCUCUCUUCAUUUUCUAUAUCCAUUAUCAUUAUUGUAGAUUACUAAUUAGUCAUUUAUAGGGAUAAAGUAUAAGAAUGCACUUCCUGUGAACUGUCACCAUGAUUUAUUCUCAAGUUUAGGGAUUUGAUUGGUAUGAUGCAAAUGCUUGAUGUAUCGUUGAAUUUCUGGAUUCAGUUUGCUGAAUGAUAAUCUACUACCACCAGCUUGUUUGUUUUGUUCACAAACAUGUUUGGCAAACACAAUCUUAUUUGAAUAUAGGGGUUUCCACUUCACUUCCAUAUUGGGUCAUUAAGUACAUUGAAAAUUUACUUUAUUUUGUCCUCUGCCUAUGUGAUGUUAGUUUGUAUUAUCUACAUUUCUAUUUAUCCAACAUAAAGAAUCAAAUGCUUCUAUAUGGAAAUAUAACAUAGUAGUGGUGGAAGGAGUGAGGAGAGAGAAGGAUAAAUUUAAAACAAUGUAGCUAAAGAAGUAUCAUAAGAUAUAUAAUUUUUGAGUACUGUAUCAAAUUGGUCUCCAAAAAAGCUGAAUGGCGAAAAGGGAUCCAUACAGCUGACCUCAAAUAGUUUCGGAUAACAAUAAUAUUGUAUUUAUUGCGCUUAUUGUUCAAACUGUGGUAUCACAGAUGAAACAUUUAUAUAUAUAUAUAUAUAUAUGGUUGACUUGAAAUUUAGCAUCCGUGAUCUGCAUAGAUAUAAUCAUAAACCCAAUGGUUGCAAAAAUAUGAAUAAAAAGCACAUUAUGGGAAUGGGCAACAGACUGGCUAACUUAUGUGUGUGUGUUGAUCCCCUAUAUAUUAUGUAUAAUGUUUCAGUAAACUUUUAGAUGGAAACAUGACAUCUUUUUUUACUUUGUUCAUAUUUUUUCAGUGAAUAUGUGUACUGUGAAAUGGUCAAAACUCAAAAAUAUAUUUGUGCUUAACUUUCAUAUUUAUGAUGCCACUUUGAUCAACAAAUUUUUGUUUGGUGUGAAGAUGAAAGAAACUGGGAGAGCUUUCUCAUGUAUAUUUUGAAAUCAUCAUCUGAUAUCUCCCCCUCCACUUGAAGCUAUAAGAAAAUCCAAGUAUAUUAACUAGUACUCUGUGAAUUGUGGAUUUUCAGUCUCAGCAAUUAAUCACAGAGGGCCUAGAAUAUGUAUUCUCCAUCGCUUGUAACUUGGAAAAACUUAUUAAUCCUUGUUAAGUUUGCUAAAUCUUUUUCUCUUCUAACCCCACAAAAACUGCAUGGCUCUUAUACGUCUGCUUAUAAAUUGAUGCAUGUGAUUUGUUAUACCAUCCCAUUACGAAGUUUCAAUAUCUUAUUGUCUAUCCAUGCAACUUCUAGGAGAACAAUGGGAAUGUUUUUCUUCCAAUGCAACAUGAAAAAAAAAAAAAAAAAUUGGUGUUGCUUAAAAUUUAUGUCACAAGCAUUCACGAUAGCUGCCUUGUCAGGUACAUUUCAGAAUGAAAUAUUGGGAAUCAAGCACAUAAAAUAGUCAUAAAGUGAUCUGUUUCACAUUGAUCAUUGCAUAAAAUUUUAGUUGCUUCAUAAAUAUAGCAAGCUUUAACUAACUUUGUGGUUGGAAUCUUAAUUGUAUUCAGAUGCUGGAGAAAACAAUUAAUGAUGGCCAAGGAUACAAGGCGGGUCGACAUAUUAUGCUAUCGUGUGUCCUUGAGUAAAAAACUUCUCAACAAGACUGGAAAGUAUCAAAAACUUUAUAAUAUUGUAGAUGAAGCUGUGAAGAAGCUUGAAGCUGAAGUGGGUCCAUUAACUGGAUUACCUGUAAAGAUGGGUAGGGGUAUUGUCAAUAGACUUUCUUCAGGACCAGAGGUUCAAAAAUUGUGCGCCUUUGCUUUGGAAUCACUGGACAAAAUGCUUUCAAGUACUGUUGCUCAUCCAUUCCCUGAUCCAAUAAUAAGAGGUAUUUCUCAUUUUGUACUAACACCAUGGCUGAACACGAAUUUUAAAAAUUCAUCAAAAUUCUUUCAUUUGUUGAUGGCUGAAAUCUGAGGUCAUUGGAAAUUUUCCUUUGAUGCUUUUCCUCUUGAGCUUUGACUUAUAAAAAGCAAUUAGAUACUGUUGGAAAUAUUGAGUAUUACAUCCGGUAUUUCUCAAGCCAUGAACUCUUAAGUAACCAUUAAUCGGGUAACUGAUACUCAGUCCUCAACUUUGAAGUUUGUAACACUUCAGUCCUUCAUCUAUUGUUUGUUAUCACAAAUCUCUUUUUUUUUAAAAUGUUACAUAAAAAUCCUUUGUCUUUAAAAACAUUCAUAAAAAUCCCCCAUCUUUACAAACUUUUCAUAAAAAUCUCUUAGACCAUUUUUCAUUCAUUUAUCAGGCAAAAUAGAUAUGUAAAUGUAUAUCACUUUGUAAAUGAAACAAAAAUGAACAAUAAAUGGCUUGAGAGAUUUUUAGGCAACAUUUUUAAAGAUGAGGGACUUUGUAGUAAGUGGUAACAAAUUAAAGAUGAGGGACUAAAGUGUAACAACAUCUAAAGUUGAGGGAUGAUUGUUAAAAAAAUUUCCCUCAUUAAUCUUUAUGCAUUUUUAACUAUUUUGUGUAAUAUUGCAGAUAUAAAUGCAACAGUUAUGACAAUGGUCAGAUUUGAAGACGUAAAUGCAACUUCACUAAUUGUGGUUUUGGGUUCUGAAGAUCCUUCGCCAAGUGCCAUUGUUGGUUAUACCUUGUGGCAUCGCAAGACUCAGGAUACUGAUUAUCCUACAGAACCAACUUGCACUCUGUUUGUACCAAAUACAAGAUUUGUGGUCACAGGUCUUUCUCCUGCUACGGAAUACCAUUUCAAAGUUGUUUCCUUCAAUGAUGUAAGAAGAGAAACAGGCAUGUUUGAAGUUCAAUGCUGUACCCGGGAUGAAGUCCCAAACUGCUCGGAAAGAAGUCAAAGCCCAGCAACCAAUUGUAGCAGCCUUUCCAAUCCAUCUUCUGUGGAAGAUGAAACUAAUCACAAUGCUCCAUGUGGCAACCACAUUGUUAACCGAGCAGACAAUUAUCAUAAUUACUGCAAGGAUAGUGACAAAAUUGUUUCUGCCAAUGUUUCCAAUGGUGUUAUUAUAAGCAGUGGUAGUGGAGCAAGUGGAGGAACCACAGCAGAUGCAGUUCCUUUGUUAGAUGAGGAACGUGCCAUGCAGGUAGCUACCUUGCUGCCAAGUUCUGAUAUGCAAAAGCUUCAGAACAAGCAUUUGCUGGAGGACCAAAUAGUUGAUGAUAUAAGCACUGAUGAUGGUUCAGGUACGCCUGUUCAAACUGGCUUGGAAUGCGUGCCAUUUGUCGGCAACUCAGAAGCUAGUUUGCCUAUUACUCCCUGCAAACUGGAAAUAGUUAAGGAUGUGCAAGGAAGAAAUGCAAGAUCAAAAUCCAGCAACAAGGAUCUGUCAAAUGGCACUGGGAAAGGGGAAGAGCCACAAGAUGGAAGCACAUCAAGGAAGAGAAGUGGGGAAAGGCGAGAUGAAGAGUGUAUGGCCGAUGGUCAUUCAGACAGGGAUUUUGAGUAUAAUGUGAAGGUUAUCAGAUGGUUAGAAUGUGGGGGACAUAUCGAGAAGAAUUUCCGGCAGAAAUUCUUGACUUGGUAUAGCUUAAGGGCAACCCCACAAGAGAUAAGAGUUGUGAAGGCAUUUGUUGAUACAUUCAUCCAAGAUCCUGCAUCUUUAGCAGAACAGCUUGUGGAUACCUUUUCAGAAUGUAUCUCGAGCAAGAAAUCAUCGGUUGUGCCUUCCGGGUUCUGCAUGAAGCUAUGGCAUUGACAGCCUUUAUGGUUUUGCUACAUGAACCUGCCAUUGGUUUGUAUAGCAAUAAUUCUUUACUCCAUUAGCAUUCAUCAUUUAGACUCAUCAUUUACAUUUAUUAUCAGCUUUUGCCAUUCUUAUGGUGUAAGAAUGUGAGAAUUCAUUCUCUUUUAUAUAUAUAGUGCCCUUUUCAGUCAGUUCAGCUUUCAGAAUUAAGGGUUCAUUUGUCAUACAGGUUAUGAAUCCUCAAUUGAUUUAAUGCUCUGUUGGGAGCCUGGGAGCUUGAAAAACAUCUUGUCUUGCAUGAACAGGCACUCACAAUUUGAAGGCAUUAUUUAGCGCACUCGAUAUAUAUGCACACUCGCUAAAAAAAUGUUGGUUCCAAUCUUUUAUGGAAAAUCCUUUUUAUUUGAAGGACUUCGAAACUGGUAUAUUGUUAAAAUUUUCCAACUACUUUAAAAUUUGGUUACUUAAAAGGCUUGCCACGUGCCGGUUUUGAGUUGAAUUUAUGCGUGUUGGUUCUUUGAUUAAUUUAUUUGAACAGGCGCCUAGGGUUCAUUUGGAACUGGCAAUUUUUAGCUUCACUAAAUCUAUGAAUUUGAACCAGUAAUUUAUCUGUGUGUAGUUGUGAAAAAUAAUUUUUUAUUUUUUAUUUUAUUUUUAUUUUUUUUGUUCUUCAUAGAGAAAACGUGUUUAUUUUAUAUAAUAUUAAAAAUAAUUUUCAAUUUGAAAAAUUAAAAAAUAUGUUCAAAUUAUCAUUUUUUUAUAAAUUAUGUUUUUUUUUUUUUUUUGUUUACAAUGCUCUUUAGCUUAAUGUUUAUAUCAGUUUAAAAUAGAGAGAAAAAUUCAUGUAUUUUAUAUUAAUUUUAAAAAAACUCUAUACAUAUUUAAAUAUAUAAAUAUAAUUAUUAAAAAUAUAUUUCUUUUUAUUUAAAAUCUAUCGAUAUAUGGAGUUUGCAUUUUCAAUUCUUCAAUAUAAUAAAGAAAAUAUAAAAAAUAAUUAUUUCAGUAUUUUCUAUUUUCUUAUAAAAUUUUGAAAACAAGAAAUUUAUUUUUGAUUUUUUGAUUAAAACAAAAAAAAAUAAAAUAAUAAGUUUUUUUAAUUUUUGAAAGAACAAGAAAGUAUGUCUUAGAAAUCAGACAUAUUUUCUGUAACUAAAUGUGCUCUUAGCUUCUUUUACGGUUUUGAAUCUGACUUCAGUUUCUAUUUAACUCGGCUCAAUCUGGUAGAUUUUUUUAAACUGAAUUCAACCGUCAAAUUUUUUUUUUCUUUCUUUUCUAAAAUUUUAUCAUUCUCUUAAAUGGAAAAAAAAAAAUAUGAUUUUGACUCAAUUUUGAACUGGCUGAUCUUCUGAUGAUAUAAAUAACAAGGCGAAGAAGAGCUAAUGGCACUGCAACAAGUGGCCAUUGCAAGUCAGAAGGUUUGUGAAUUAAAUAAGUCUCCUUACUUGGAGGAAAAGACGACAUUUUUAAAUAAUAAUAAUAAUAUAUUUUUUUAUCUUAAAUUAUAAUAUAAUUAAUAAAUUUAUUUUUUUAUUUUUUAACAUUUAAUUCUAACAAAAUUUAAAAAAAAAAUUUCUAAAAUAUUUAAUUCUAUCAAAAUUAAAAAUUUUUUUCCCUAAAAUAUACCAUUAAUGAAAGUAAAAAUGACUAAUAAUUUUUUUAUUCUUCUUUUCUUCGGUCUUAAUACAUUCUCUCUUAGUAUUCAUUUUCUUUCCUGGUUGAAGCAACACAUAACAAUUUAUAAUUUUUACAAUCACAUUACAAAAAUAAAAAAAUUCAUUUAAAAUCACAUUACAAUUUACUAUCGCAUUAUAAGAAUCAAAGAAUUAAAAAAAUAAAAAUUCUAUUCUACAAAUAAAUUAAAAUUUCAACAAUUAAAAUUUUUCAGCUUAUAAAAGCCAAUAGAUCUAAUAAAAAUCAAACUACAUAAACUCAAUAUUGAAGUUUCAAGGAAAAACAAAAUAUCAUCGAAGGCAAUCGAACAAAGACUGCACACAUGGCCCAAACUAGUCGCAAAGGAAAGGUGUCAUUGAAAAACAUUCUCUACGUUAUUGUUGCUUGAUGAUUGUUAAUCGGAGUGCUCUUUCGUUCAUCUGAUCCUUUAAUUAUCCCUCCAUUAUCGAGUUAAGGUCAACCAUUGACGUAAUGAUUCUGCGGGCUGAUCCAUGUUACUUCCCGCCACUCGCCACUCAUCACUCGACAUUGCUUUUGCCAUCUCGUUGUCAAUUACUGUAGGGUUGAAUGGAUUUUUAAGAUAUAGAAUUUGUAGUUUUGGGUGUCUUUAGAUUAGGCUUUUAUGAUGGGAAGCAAAUGAAAAAAAUUUGAGGAUUUAAAGGUGAAAGUAAUUUUUGUGAUUGAUAAGUGUAUUUUUAGAAGGGAAAAUUACUUUUUAGUCCCUGAGGUUUAACGUAAUUAAUACUUCUGUCCCUCUAUUUUGGCGACCGAACACUUAAGUCCCUCACUUUCUCUUUCGUCCAAAUUUAUAUUCCUUCUGUCUAUUUAAGCUGUUUGAUCAAAGAUUCAAAUGUGAGAGGUGAUAAUUUUUUCCAAAAAUACCCUCCUCUCAAUGUGAGAUCUCUAUUUUUUUUCUCUUUCAUAUAUUCUCCAUUUCCUUUUAUCCAUUAUUAACUCUUCUCUCUUUUUUUCUCUCUCUCUUUUUUUCAUCUUUCUUCUCCCUCGUAUUUUCUCUGUUUCUUUUAACAUUAUUUAAUUUUCUUUUUUUUUUUUCUCUUUUUCAUCUUUUUUCUCCCUUAUAUUUUCUCUAUUUUGUUUUUGACAUUGUUGAUUUUUCUUUUUUUUUUUUUCUCUUUUUCAUCUUUAUUCUCCCUCCUAUUCCCUCUAUUUCCUUUUGAUAUUGUCGAUUUUUUUUUCUCUCUUUUUCAUCUUUCUUCUCCCUAAAGCAUUAUUUGAAAGUUGCAGAAAGGAUAGGAAUUAUGGUGAAGAAGAAGAAGUUGCAGAAAAGGUAAGAGUUAUGGUGAAGAAGAAGAAGAAGAAGAAGAAGAAUCUACAGUGAAAAGGCAUUGGGUUAGAGUUUUAUAAUUUUGAAAUAGCGGGACUUUUAGUGAGGGACAAUUUUGUCAAUUCACAUAUCCCAAACGACUAUUUUGGACGGAAGGACUACAAAUUUGGAUAGAAAAAAAAGUGAAGGAUUUAAGUAUUGGGUAAGCAAAAUAGAAAAACAGAAGUGUUAAUUAUAUUAAACUUCAGGGACUAAAAAAUAAUUUUCCUUUUUAAAUUAUAUUUUGAUACUUUUUUCUAAUUAAAAUUUAUAUUAUUGACUUAACAAAAUUAUUAAAUAAAAUAAUUUUCAAUUUUGAUGAAAUUAAAUUAGAGAAAAAUAUAUCUAUUAAUUAUAUAAUAUUUCAGAAAUGAAAAAGUAAUAUUUUUUUAAUAAUAAUAGUAAUGAUGUUCGUAUAAGAUAUAAUUAAUUACUGUAACUAUGUUUUAUAUAAUGUUAUUUAAAGUUUUAUUUAAUUAAAUUAAUAAAUAUUCAAAUUUAGUUACUAUAAAAAAAUAUUAAAAUUACCGACAACCGUUACUAACAAUCCUAUAUAGUCGAUAAUUUCCGACUAAUGUUGUAUUUUUUUUUUCUAGAAUCACAUAUUUCAUUAAUAUGCAAAUAGUACAAGGCCAAAUCCAUAAACAGAAACUAGAAAUACAGCAUUUCAACCCAAAUCUAGGCCCAACAUAAGAAAAGAAACCCUAGGAGAAUGAGAAAGACCUGAAAUCAACUCCUACCCAUUUCUUGCAUGCUUCAACCAUGUUGGCUACCAAGAGGACGAUAAAUUUUCAACCUAAACAUCAUGGCACCCUACGAGUACUAGUGAGCUAGAUAGGAAAGUGAUGAAAAGCCUUAGAAAAGAAGCAGGCGCAUGGACUUUGAACUUUUGCUAGACAUGCCAGGAGAGAGGCUUGGUGAUGCGAGCUACUAGAUCUUGCCUCGAAGGAAGGCACUACCAUGAUGGUGAAACCUUCCAAUCACCAAUCGAUCAAGCUUUAGAAGCUUCUGAUAUAUAAGUAAGAGGAGAGGACUGCAGCAUGCAUCCUCUUCUAUAAACUAAAGGUAGCAAAACUCAAAACCCCCAAUACUUAGGAAUUAGAAUACUAAAAUUUCACGGAAGAGACUAAAACGAAAAAAGAAAGAAAAUCUAACUAUUAAGCAAACCACAAUAAGAAAAACCAGAAGAGGAGGAUCAACGGUCAAAAGAUCGAACCUCCCCUAAAGACAAAUAGAAAAUUAGACACUUUUUUUAGAAAGAAGGAGAAAAGUUUUUAAAAGAGAAUUCGUAUACUAACAUUAUAUUUAUAGAAAAAUAAAAUAACAUAUAAAAUUUAUUAAUAAUUGUAUUAAUUGUUUUAUAAUUAUAAAUAUAAUAAUGAAAAUAUAUAAUCGAUAAUUUUAGUGUCAAGUAUACACGUCAAAUUUAUUAAUAAUAUAUCAUAACAUUACCGAAGAAUUAGAUGCAUAGGUAUUUUUUAAAGGAAAUUAUUAAAAAUUAUUAUUUUAAAAAAUGAUGAAACAAAAUACUGACAAAAAAAAAUUUAUCAGUACUCUUUAUUUUACAUUUAGCAUUACCUAUCAUUGUAAUUUUUAUUGGUAUAAGUUAAAAGCUAAAAAUGUUUUUAUUUACAAAUUCUUUAUUAUGCUUAGUUAAAUAAAAUAUCCAUGAACUGUUGUAGGCAGUAAAAAUAAUUUAGAAGAAUUAAUUUACUGUUUUUGACUAUUUUUAUUUCGUUGCUAGCUUAUGUAUUUUAUUUUUUAUAUGUACAUAUAUUAUUAAUUUAAUACUAUUAGUUGUUUUUUUAAAAAUAACUAAAUAGUAAUACCAAUGAAUUGAGUAGUCGAUAAAGUGUUUUUUCAGAUUUAACAUUACUGGCAACUGUAAAUGUCAUUCAUGUAGCUUAAAGGAGAAAAAUAUUUUUAUUUACAAAAUUAAUUAAUAAAAUACCAACCAAAAUGUUAAGAUUAAUUUAGAAAAAAUAAUUUAUUUUUUGUUAUUGUCGCACAAUUUGGUUAGUGCCAAAACUCAGUGGUAUAAAUUUUACAUGGCAAGGGUGUUUCUUUUUUUUUUUUUUUUGUGAAGGUGGGCAGGCCACCAUUAUUUUUUAUUUAUUUAAAACGAAUGUAGGGCGUAUCCAUACAGUCAGAAAGUACAAUGCCUUUCAACAACUGAGGCAGAGAUUUAAAGAAAAAAAACAAAUAGAUCUCCUGGAUAAUCUGCUCAAAAGAGCCAAAUAAUGAGCCGCCUUGUUGCCCUCUCUGAAAUUAUGAUGGACCGAAGAAGAAUUAAUAAGCAGUCUAAUAUCUUCAAUCGUCUUGUUUGUUGGUGAGGAUGAGCAGUUCAGAGCUGAUAUUAAGGCCAUUGAGUCUGUUUCCACUUGCAAAUUAAAUAAUUGUUGGCUAUGACACCACUCCAAACUAACUUUCAAAGCACACAUCUCUGCAGCAAGAGCGUUAGUUGCCUCUAAAGGAAAGGAGAUAGCUGCAACAAAGGAACCAAAUUCAUCUCUUAUAAUUGCACCUCCUGACGAGAAAGAUGGAGUGAAGGAAGCAUCGAUAUUAAGUUUCAAAAAACCAGUUGCUGGUUUUUUUCCAAUAAACCAGCAUGGGCUUCAAAUUCUGCAAACCGAAUCCAUCAGGAAGAAUAUCUGACAAUUGUGGAAAUGGUCGAGCAAAUUUCUUCGUUGAAUUAGCUAUUCCCCAAUUAAGUAUAAAAGUGGCAAUCUGAUGCUUAAUUGUUGGAAAGAAAAUAGCAGUAUCUCCCCAGGUUAUGUCACAGUAAGCUUGCCAAAUAUAGAACAAAAUUACCACUGGUACCAAUCUACAAAUUCGGCCUGCAAAAGAAUUUUGUGAAAAAGAUAGCCACCAAGUCAUGAGCCCCUGGCUCAAGGUACCUUUAGUCGAUAUAUCAGGCAGCACAUAAGAACCAAACACUUUCCAAAUCUGCUGAAUAGGGUUACAGAGAUAAAAAACAUGGUUGACCGAAGCUUCUGCUGAUUGACAAAAGGGGCAAGCUGAUGCGGUCUGUAUACCAAGUUUUUGCAGUUGAGAUGGCAAAGGAAUGGCAUUUCUCAAUAUUUUCCAAACCAGGAUUGAGAACUUCAGUGGUAUACUAUUGUCCCAAAUCAUUCGAUGAGAUAAAGAAGCUCCUCGACGCUGUCGAACUUCGCUAUAUGCUGCAGCUAACGUGAAAUUACCCAUAUGACUAUUUUUCCAUCUCACCGUUCCAUUUUCAAUUUCAAUUAACUCAGCACCAAUUGAACUUGCAUGGCAGAUGCGCUUCCAAGAACAAGAAUCCGGUGAUUUAUAUAUCAUCUCUCAUUGCCGAUGAUACUUACUGUGCAUAUAAGCAGACCAAAUAGAAUCUUUCGAAAGGUACAACCACCAUAUUUUCAGAGAAUAAGCUUCCUGUAGAGAGAGUAGGGAGCGUAAUCCAAGACCCCCCUCCUUCUUAGGCAGGCAGAAUUCCGAGUACCUUACCCAAUGAUGCUUUGGUUGCGCCGAUGCUAAGUUCUAGAAAAAAUAUGCAAAUUUGCCCUCCAUAGAGUUCAUAAUAGAUUUCGGCAAGAGCAUAGAUCCCAUGGUGUGUAUAGGGAUAGAGUUUAAAACAUGCUUGAUCAAAAUUAAUCGACCCCCAGGAGAAAGAAAUUUUUUUGUCCACCCCAUCAAUUUAGCAUCAACUUUCUGAAGCAGCUCCUUGCAAUAAAUUGCCCGAUUUAUCCCUUGGUAAAUAGGAGCCCCAAGGUAGAUAAAAGGUAACGAUUUUCUCUUGAUACCCAACAAUUGUUCAAAUUUUGAAACAAUGGCUGGAGUCGCCUUUUUGGUACAAUAAAAGGAACACUUUUCAAAAUUAAUUAAUUGGCCCGAAGUUGUCUGAUAAUCAAGCAAAAAGUUCCUGAAAUUACGAAUGCUUUUAACAUCUCCAUUUAUAAAGAUAAGAAGAUCAUCAGCAAAAGAUAGCUGAGACACAAUUGGACAAUUUCUGCCAAGCUUAUAAGGCAAUAUUUUCCCUUGAUGAAUAAGCUGUUUAAGACCUCUAGUAAGGCAUUCUGAGGCUAGGAUAAAGAGAAGAGGAGAAAGCGAGUCACCUUGUUUCACUCCGCGCAAUGGUUGAAAGAAUCCAUAAUUGAUGCCAUUAACCAUUAUCGAUAACCGAGUAGCUGCCAAAUUAGACAUGAUUAAUUCCACCACCUGAUUAGAGAAACCGAAUUUAAGUAGCACAGCUUUGAUAUACUCCCAAGAGACUCGAUUAAAUGCCUUUGCCAUAUCUAAUUUAAUUGCCAAAUUGUGACCUCUUGUCGUCCUAUCAAUUUCAUGAACCAUCUCAUUAGCUAAAAGAAUAUGAGAAUGAAUGGACCUUCCCUUCAUAAAUCCAGCUUGUUUAGGUGAAAUAAGCUCACCUAAGAAAGAAGAUAACCUGUUAGCUAGAAUUCUGGUACAAACCUUACUAAUGAAGGUGGCAAGACAAAUUGGCCUAAAUUUGCUGAACGAAUCUGGAUUAUCCACCUUAGGGAUAAGAACAAUACGAGCACUGCUAAGAGCCUUCAGAAUAGGAACACCCAAAUAAAACUCUUUAAUUGCACUACAAACAUCCCAUCCUACUAUAUCCCAACAUGCCCGAAAGAAAGCACCAUCAAACCCGUCCGGACCUGGAGAGCUGUUUGGAUCUAGCUGCCAAACUGCCGACUUAAUUUCAGAAUCUGUAGGAACCUGCUCCAACAUAGAAUUUUGCUCAACGGAAACAAUUGUUGGAAGAAAGUCAAUCAUUCUAUCAAUAUUCCUUGAAGGCUCACAAUCAAAAAGAGCCGAGUAAAAGUUCACUGCCUCUUGACCAAUUUCCGCUUGCUCAGAGAUCCAGAUCCCAUGAGAAUUUUUAAUUUCAGCAAUCCUGUGCAUCCUCCGAGUGACUUUCACAUAGUUAUGAAAAAAUUUUGUACUAGCAUCCCCUUCGCUGAGCCACUUAAUACGCGAUUUUUGCCUCCAAAAUGUCUCCUCGAAAUUCAAUUUUUGGAUUAAAUCAGCUUGUCUUUUAUUCCAAGUAGUCCUAUUGAUUGAUGAAGGAUCCUUAUGAAAAGCAUUUUCAGCCUCCUCCGCAUAUUUUUCUGCCUUGGAGAUGUUAUAAAAAAUGUUACCAAACACCUCCGAGUUCCAAGUACGAAUGGCAGAUUUUAAUUUUUUUAAUUUAAUGAAUAAAGCUCUCAUGCCACCUCCAUGAAAAGAAGAAGAUCAGUUAUCCUUAACUAGCGGAAUAAAGGACUCAUGUGACAACCACAUAUGCUGAAAUUUAAAAGUUUUUGGCGCAUUGAAUGAUGUAGCCUUGCAUUUUAAUAAUAACGGUGAAUGGUCUGAAGUAGAUUUCCCCAAAUGUCUCAAAGCAAUGUCAUCAAAAAAGUCAUAAAAAGAAACAUUUGCAAGAAAAUGAUCAAGCCUCUUCCAGACACGCCCAUUUCUGCGAACUCCAGUCCAAGUAAAAGAGCAUCCAGUAAAGGGAAUAUCAAUCAGUUCACAACUAUCAGAGCAGGUACUAAAAUCUUACAUGCCAUUUAAAUUAGGAGUACCAUUCCCUUUAUAUUCAGAUAAAUUUUUUAUCACAUUAAAAUCCCCGCCUACCAACCAAGGCCCAGAAAUUUGCUCUGCCAAAUCACAAAGAUUUCUCCAAAGAGACAAGCGAGCCUCUCGAGUGUGGUAACCAUAAACAGCUACCAGCGUAAGUGAGAUGGAAAGCGAAAGGUAGCGAACAGUACAAGUAAGCAUUUGUGACACAUCAUGAAAGCCAGACAGAGAAACAAAAGAAGCUCUCCACAUAAUCCAUAUCUUAUUAUCCAAAGAGGAAAAAACAUCAGAAAAACGCAACUUUGAAGCCCAAGAAAUCUUAGUGUUCUGAUCAACCAUAGGCUCUAAGAUAAUAAGAAUAACAAUUUGAUUAUCAAUACACAGCUUAUGAAGACGGGAAAAGGAAGAAUUUAUACCUCGCAAAUUCCAACUCAGAACAUUCAUUGAGAAAACUUUUUUGGGACAGUUGAAGUGCGAGUUGAUCGUCGAAGACCAGCAGAUGAUGGAAGCUUUUUUCUGUUUAGAGUUCUUCUUACGGACAAUGGUGAAGCCCGCUUCUAUGGGUCUCUCUGAAUUUGUUGGAAUAGUUAGCAAGUUAAUCCUCUUAGUUAAAUUAUUGCUAAUCUCCUGCCACUCUUCACAGCUAUGGUUCUCAAACCUGAUGGGCAAAUUGUUAUCCGAAUGAUACGCAGUCAACUCAACCUCCGAAGUGUAGUCGGCAUGAUCAGAAAGUGUCUCUAUAGAAUCAACAAUCAUUUUCCCCGCUGCAAUUAAAGAGUCAAUCUCAGAGCUAGAAGGCAAAGGAGCUUCAUUCGUCAAAUCAGUCCGAUAAUUCAUAGAGGUGUUCAAAGUAUCAGAGAUGACAAUAGGAUCAUUAUGAACAGAAGCCAAUGAAUUAAUUCCCGCAACAAGUAAUGGGGAUGCAAUCUGAGAACCAGCUUUAUUGUCCACAAUAUUACCUUCGGUUGUAUCUACUGCAGCAUGUUUCAGUUCAUUUUCUGCAGGAUUAGACUCAACAUUGAUUUUUCCUUUAGGAACCCAAAUCUUUGCUGGUGGUUUAACCUGAGCCUCAUCGACCUUUAUGAUGUCCUCUGGAUGAUUAUGCACCGAAAUACAAGAUUGUGUUUUAUGCCCCAACCUACAGCAUGACAAACAAUAAUCCGGCAAGUUUUCAUAUAGAAUGUGCUGGAAAAAACCCCAUAACAAUCAUCAAUCCAAAUUCUGAGUUUUAAAUCUUUAGACAAAUCAAGUUCAACACAUACUCGAGCCGCCGAAGGACGACAUCUUGUUGAUGUGGCAGCAUCCACCUUUAAAGGAUUCCCAAUAAGAUUAGCUAUAGGAAACAAAGCUUCCUUCUUAAAGAAAUGAAUGGGAAGCCCCUCAAGAGUAAUCCAAAUAGGAAUUAUUGGGCAAUCCAUAAAUUACACAUGGAGUGAAUAGAAUCAAAUUCACAAAUUUUUAAUUAAUCACUAGAAAAAUAAACAAUAAAAGUAAAAAGAAGGAUUUUAAUAAAUGGUGAAACUAUAAUAAAGACAAGACAAAUAAAGUAACAAAAGAUUUGAGAGAAAAUCAAUGUAAAUAAAUUCUAAGAAUAUGAUCCAUUUCAGUUGUAAGAAUUGAUAAUUGAAGCAAAAAAAUAUCUUUAUUCCAAUAAAUUAUUUCUAGUUUUAGAAGAAGUUCACAUAAUAAUUCUCUCAUUAAGUGUAAAUUAAUUAGAAAACAUUUGCUAAUUAACCCUAGUCAUCAAAUAACUUAAAGAACGUCUAUUAGAUUUAAUUUAUCAUCCGCCUUAAAAAUUAGAGAAAUCUAAUUCUAACCAACAAAUCAAACCGCGUGGUGAGUUUAAACUAUAUCAUGCAAUUUCUUAGUGAGUUAUACUAAUUUUUACUGGUUGUUGAAUAACUCAAGUAAUUACGAACUUUAAACAUUCAAACUAACAAUAACCUUAAAAAAUAUGAACAACGAGACCUAUUGAUCAAUUAACAAAGCAAUAUUAAUAAUAAGAACUGAAAUUGCAUAAUUAUUAAAUAAAUAAAAGAUGAAUGAUAAUGUUUAGAUCACAAUCCAUGAAGAAACUGAAACUUCAACUUCAACCUUUCUCCAACUAGAUCUAAAGAAGUUAGCCACACAUGACUGAAAGAAAACACAAGAAGGAAAAGAAUUCGGUAGAAGAGAGGAAGUGUUUGUGUUCACGAAACUGUGGUAUUUAUAACAACUGAACCUCAGUAGAAUCCUCAUUGAUCUUUCCUAAAGAGCUCUAAUUUGAAUAUCUUCAAUGAAAUAACUCUUUUGAUUUGUUUCUUAAGAGGGGUGGAGAUUUUCUUAUCUUUGGAAGAGGUUAUUCUGUGAAAUUUGGACUGGAACAUAUGAGAUCGCGCAUUCUUUAAUUGAAAAAUCUGAUAUUAUUUCUUUUUCCACAUCAGGUGUGCUUUUGCUACUAGUGGAGGUUUACCUGGAGGCUGGGCAAGUCUUCGAUUAAGUCUGUUCAGCCACUACACAUGAUCAAUUUUUUUCUCUUUGAUUUUGGCUCAUCUCUGCUAUCAUUUGCAUUUCUGUAUAAAAUCCAUAAAAUUGCCAAAACAAAUAGUAUUCAUAUCUCAUUUGACCAAAUAUUUAAUUAAAAUAUGUGUUGAAUACAUGCAUCAUCCAAUUUUCCCACACUUGAUCCAUGCUUGUCCUCAAGUAUUCAAACAAAUUUAGAUCAUCAACUCCACUCUUUCACCUAAACCUUUUUAUUGAAGCAUAAUAGUGUUCCGGCAUACAUAUAACUAAUACUCCCAGAAGUCACAUUGCAAACAAUAACAAUAAUCCCAGCCAAAUCUUUGACAUAAAUAGGAGAGGUCAAGCUAUUCACACUCAAUCACACAAAUAGUCAAAUAGCAUUCAUGGAAUAGUCACUAGACUUUACCUUAGGCAAUUCUAUUAUUGUUUAAAGAUAGUUUUAAGUCCAAAAAUUAAGUAUCCAAGUUUUUUUAUUUAUUAUUUACGAGCAUUUUUUUCAUCUCUUACUUGGAAUGUCACCACUCUUUUAAUGCAAAGAUACAUAUUUGUAAUAUUCACCUUCGGUUAUUCAAUUGGUCACAGUUUUAAGUGGCUACUAGUACUACUCAUGGUCACGUAACCAACAGAGUAUAUUUAUUUUGUGCUCUUUUUUUUUUCUUUGGUACCUUGAACACUUUAUUUCUUUGAUAAAAGUUUUAUAAAAAUUAAAAAUUCAUGACUUUAACAAAUCCUAGUUAUACGCCACUAGUGCCUUAAUCAUGUAAGUACACACAUUUUAUUCAAGCUCUAAAAUUUAUACUUCAAGACAAUUAUCAAAUACUAUUGCAAGCAAUAUGAAAAUGAGAUUGUUAGGAAACCCAGAGAUUACUGCAACCCAAAACACGCAGCGGAAAAAAAAAAUCUCUAUUUCCCUUACAGGAUCUGAGUGCUUCAUUUAUUUUGAAAGAAAGGAAAAGAGACUAACAUUUUAGACUCGACGAGAAGAUACAAUUUCGAAAUGAUGGUGCUGCUUCUGAAACGAACACCCUCAAUGGUAUUUACAUGAAUGCUUUCCGUCUAGAGUGCUAGCUCUCUCAACGAAAAGAUAAGCUAUGUGCUCCCCAAUCUGCAGCCCAGAAAAAUAAUCACUCCAAAAACCUUACUCCCACAAUUUCACAGAAGAAGUUUUAUUCAUUUUUUAGUCUUUUGUUUUUCCAUACUUCUUUUCAUAAAAGAGUUGUAUUCAUAACCAACUAUCGCAAUCUCACAGAUACUCAAAUAUCUAUGUGAUAAGUCCUUUUUCAAAAAGGACAACGGAAAAAUCCUUUAUCUGUAACAGUUACAGAUAAACUGCAGAUCUUUUAAAUAUUAAUAUUAAUAAUAAUUAAUAUUAUUAUCUUAUUAUCAUGGUCAAUGUCAAACUUAUAAUGUUCAAACUUACGAUUUCUCAAUCAAUGUCAAACUUAUAAUGUUUAAACUUAUGAUUUCUUGAUCUCUAAGUAGACUGAUAAAACCAAAUGAUAUUGAUCACAUUAUCAAUUCAUUUGAAUAUGACCAUUCAUUUCUGAAUCUCACUUAUCAAGGGGCCUAAAAGAUAUCUCUCUCAAAGAGAGAGAUAAAUUCUAUUUUGAUUGUUCAAUAUCCUCUACAUAAUUUCUAUUAUGCUCAAUCAUAACUUUUAUGAUUAUCCGAUUAAAGACAAUGUUUGGUUAUGUCAAAACAUAUCAGUCCUUAUGUUGGAAACUAUGACAAUCUCAAGUCAAAGGAUUAAGACAUAACUACUUUGAGAUUCACUUAGGACAAUAACCCAUGUAGUGAUCUCAAUGCGAGUCCAUCCAAUACUUUGUUCUCUAACAAGUAUCUAUGAUUAUUGAAUUAUAUCAACAUAUAUAUAAUCAUCUCAUAAUUAUCAAUCAAUAAUCAUACUAGUCAUAUUUUAUUAUUAUCACCAUAAUAAUAAGUAACCAGGAAUGUAAAUCAUUAUUAUGUAACAUACAAACAAAUAAUAAUGAUAAUAAAACCUCUUUUAUUAAUAAUCAAAAUGACAUACAAAAAAAGGUCCAAGAUAAUGGCUUAGGACAAAUACACUAACAAUCUCCCACUUGCAUUAGGCCUAAUCAUACAAAUAUCUAAUACCUAUAGACCUAGUGUGUUGAUCAUGCUUGACCUAUGAGAGAGGCUUGGUUAGUGGAUCUGCAAUGUUGUCAUUUGUGUCUACUUUGCAUAUUUUGAUAUCUCCUCUAUCAAUGAUUUCUCGAAUAAGGUGAUAUCGCCUGAGUAUAUGCUUAGAUCUCUGAUGAGAUCUAGCCUCCUUUGCCUGUGCUAUGGCACCAUUUUUAUCACAAUAAAGGUCCAUAGGAUUUGCAAUGCUAGGAACCACUCCCAACUCUGUGAUGAAUUGCUUCAACCAGACUGCCUCCUUAGCUGCAUCUGAUGCUACUAUAUACUCAGCUUUUAUUGUAGAAUCUGCUAGAGUGCUUUGCUUGGAAUACCUUCUUAUGUCCACUCAUAAUGAGUAGAUAAAUAUAAGUGAUCAAACAAAAAUUAAUCACAUUUUUCAUGUUAUUAUUGAUGUUAAAUUAUACAUUUUCUAUCUAAUUUUGUGGUUUUGAUCUUAUUUUGCAGAAAAUGGUGUAAAAUGGAAAGUUGGUGAAAAAUGGCCUAAAAAGCACUCAAAAGAGGGUUUGACCGAAGUUGUUUGGCCAAACCACCCUCAAGGAAUGACUAAGGAAGCUGCUUAAUUGAAUGGAAGGAAAAGCCAAGAAGACAAGAUGAUGUGCCAAGAGUUGUUUGCGCAAACAACUGGGCAAACAAUCCUUUAAAGCUGAAACCCGGAAGUGGUUCAAAAGACAAAAACAACUGAAACCCGAAAGUGUCUUGUUGUUUGCCUAGCUGUUUGCCCAAACAACUGUCCAAACUAACUUCACAGCAGAAACUAAGAAGGAUAAAGAACAGUGCAGUCUUGCUGUUUGCCCAAACAGUUGCCCAAACCAGAUUUUGCAGUGUAGAAAUAGAGAACAGAUAGCACAGACUAGCUUUUUGCCCAAACAGCUGGGCAAACAGAUUUUGCAGCAGAAUUGUACAGAAACACAGGAAAGCCAGAAAUUCAAAUUUUCAGAGUUCUAUCCUAUCUCAAAACACUUAAAGACACAUCAGCAGCACAUCAAACACCUCAGCAACAGUAUUCUUGUAAUACCCGGUGGAAUCUCGAAUGUCGGAAUGUCGAAUGUCGGAUGUCGGAAUCUCGAAUGUCGGAACCCUCUAGAAGGGUAAAAUCAUGUUUUUAUAAAAUGUUUUUACAUGUUUUAUGGUUUGAAUGAAGAAAGAAAUUGAGUUUUUGAAAGAAAAGCACCAAGAAAGGAAAGCCAGGUUUGGCCGCCGAACAUGGUGAAGUUUAGGGAGCACCUUUGGCCCCCGAAGGUGGUCUGGCCAGCCACCUAUAAAAGGCCCCAUGUCCGAAAACGGGCGAGUUUUCUUCUCCAUUUUCGGGCAAAGGUGAGUCCAUACCCUUCCAUGGUUAGUUUUAAUGUUUUCCUUCAAAUCUUUCAAGCUUUUAACAAGCUUUCAUCUUGUUUUGAAGUUUUUAAGCUCAAAAUCGAAGUUGUGAAGCUUGGAGACCUGCGGAACUCGUUUUUCCCAAAUCUCCAAGUUGGGUCACGCCUUCUCUCGAUCUUCAAGAGGUAAGCGUCGAUCCUCACCGUCUUUGAUGUUUUAAGCAAGUGUUAUGAAGGGUUAUGGGGGUAAAGAUGCUUGAUUAGGCUAGUUGUAAAAAUGAUAGGGUUUAUAGUAGUUUGAGGAUAAAUGCAUGUUAAAUGUGUUGCUAUGUUAAUGUUGCUGGGGUAUAGGUUAGUUUUAAGCCCCUAAAUGCUUAAGAAUGUGAUUAUGCAUGUUUUUGCAUGAGUUUGUUUGAGUUGAGAGGUUUGGCGUGGCUGGAUGCAUGUUUGUGGCUUGGGUUCUGCCUGCUGGAGGACCCAGGUUCGGCUGCCGAAGCCAUGUUCGGCCGCCGAACCUGCCUAUGGAGGCAGUUUGGCCGCCUAAACUUGCCCCCGAAAGUUUGGACUUUCGGCUCUGGAGGAGAGUUUCGGCCGCCGAACCUGCCGCCGAAAGUGCCUGACUUUCGGCUUUGGAGGGACUUUCGGCCGCUGAACUUGCUGUCGAAAGUGCCCUGUUCAGCCUUCCUUUGCAUGUUUUCUAUGAAUGUUUUAUGAUGUUUUAGGGGGUUUUUAGGGAGAUGUUUAGAGUCAUGUUAGUGUAUGUUUGGUCCCUCAUUUGAGUCCAUCUGUGUAGGUUCGGACCCGAGGAACCGAGGACCCCAGCAGUGAGAUAGCUGCUUCAGAGUCUUUUCAGAGUCAGCCUGAGGUGAGUAGAAUGGAUCUUUAUGUUUCAAAGUAAAUAAAUUUUGAGCAUGUUCAUGCAUCACGAAUGCCAUGAUAUUGUAAUACCCGGUUAGAUUUUCGGCAUCGCAAUCCCUACCUUCCGGCGGAAUCUCCAUUGGAAUCUAGAAUUUUGAUGAUGCUAGAGUCUUCUAGAGGGGAAUAAUGUGUUUUCUAAAAUGUUUUUACUGAUUUCAUGGUUUUAAAUGAAAAAGAAUUGAGUUUUGAAAAGAAAAGACCAAGGAGGAAUGCCGCCGAAAGUGAUUUUCGGCAUCGCAUCACGAAUGCCGCCGAAAGUGAAGUUCGGCCGCCGAACAUGGGAAGGUUUCGGGAGCGCUUUUGGCCUCCAAAAGCUUGUUUGAAUUGAGCCAAGGUUCGGCCGCCGAACCUCAAGUUCGGCCGCCGAACAUGCAUGAGUUUAGGGGGCACGUUAGGCCGCCGAAGGUUGUGGACCAGGCCACCUAUAAAAAGCCCUCAGAUCGGAAAUGGGCGAGUUUUCUCCCCAUUCUCGAGCUCAGGUAAGUUUAUGCCCUCCUUUGGUCGUUUUCAUGUUUUCUCUACCCAUCCCUCAAGUUUUUCAUGAAUUCUACCCUUGUUUUGAAGUUUUGAAGCUCAAAUAGGAGUUUUGGGAGCUUGGAGGCUUUUGGAGCUUGGAUCCUCCACACCUCCGAGUUAGGGAUUGCACCACCCCUCGAUCUUCGAGAGGUAAGUGUAGAUCCUUGCUUUCCUUGUGUUUUAAAGAAGUUUUAAGUAAGUUUAAUGAAGUUUUAAUGGUUGAGCAUGGGUAGAUAUGCAUGUUAGGGUUUAUGUGGGUUUUAUGCCCAAUGUGUGCUUAUGUAUGUUUAAAUGAUGUUAUGAUGAAGGUUUAGACUAGGUUAUGCAUGUGGGAGAGUGUAUGCAUGAUUGGGAGAGAGCAAGUGAGGUUUUGGUAAGUGUAAUACCCGGCUAGACUCCGGUAUCGGAAUUCCUACCGUCCGGUGGAAUCCCGGAUGUCGGAGACCUCUAGAAGGGUGGAACCAUGCUUUCAUAGAAUGUUUUCAUGUUUUUAAUGGUUUUAAAGUAUGAAACUAAAUGAGUUUUUGCAUGAAAAUAGCAUUGGAGG